rnacentral:rRNA from 1 species
AGAGCGAACGCUGGCGGCAGGCUUAACACAUGCAAGUCGAGCGCCCCGCAAGGGGAGCGGCAGACGGGAGAGUAACACGUGGGAACGUACCUUUCGGUUCGGAACAACCCAGGGAAACUUGGGCUAAUACCGGAUACGUCCGUAAGGAGAAAGAUUUAUCGCCGAAAGAUCGGCCCGCGUCUGAUUAGCUAGUUGGUGAGGUAACGGCUCACCAAGGCGACGAUCAGUAGCUGGUCUGAGAGGAUGAUCAGCCUCACUGGGACUGAGACACGGCCCAGACUCCUACGGGAGGCAGCAGUGGGGAAUAUUGGACAAUGGGCGCAAGCCUGAUCCAGCCAUGCCGCGUGGGUGAUGAAGGCCCUAGGGUUGUAAAGCCCGUUUCGGGCGGGAAGAUAAUGACGGUACCGCAGAAGAAGCGCCGGCUAACUACGUGCCAGCAGCCGC